AAAGGAAUAGACGGGGCCCCGCACAAGCGGCGGAGCAUGCGGAUUAAUUCGAUGCAACGCGAAGAACCUUACCAAGGCUUGAAAUGCGAGGAAAUCUCUCGGAGACGGGAGGUGCCUUUGGCGUCUCGCACAGGUGGUGCAUGGUUGUCGUCAGCUCGUGUCGUGAGAUGUUGGGUUAAGUCCCGCAACGAGCGCAACCCUCGUCCUAUGUUGCCAGCGGUUCGGCCGGGGACUCAUAGGAGACUGCCGGGGUCAACUCGGAGGAAGGUGGGGAUGAGGUCAAAUCAUCAUGCCCCUUAUGUCUUGGGCUUCACGCAUGCUACAAUGGCCGGUACAGAGGGCUGCGAUAUCGUAAGAUGGAGCGAAUCCCAAAAAGCCGGUCUCAGUUCGGAUUGGGGUCUGCAACUCGACCCCAUGAAGUCGGAGUCGCUAGUAAUCGCAGAUCAGCAACGCUGCGGUGAAUACGUUCCCGGGGCUUGUACACACCGCCCGU
rnacentral:rRNA from 1 species